rnacentral:hammerhead_ribozyme from 1 species
AUCCAGCUGACGAUUCCGAAAUAGAAUGAAACGCACGUCCUAGAU